ACGGAGUAUUGGACACGGGCGCUCAUCAUAAAGGCCCCCAAAUUUAUAACGACUCAUCAAUGAUUACUAAAGAUCAUGAUGCUAUUAAAUUAUUCAUUGGACAGAUUCCUCGAAAUCUUGACGAGAAAGAUCUUAGACCAUUGUUCGAGCAGUUUGGAAAGAUCUAUGAGUUGACUGUGUUAAAAGACAAAUAUACAGGCAUGCACAAAGGUUGCGCCUUUCUGACUUACUGUGCUCGGGAAAGUGCUGUCAAGGCUCAGAACGCCCUCCACGAACAGAGAACCUUACCAGGGAUGAACCGUCCAAUCCAAGUAAAGCCUGCCGAUAGUGAAAACAGAGGAGAGGACCGUAAGCUGUUUGUGGGUAUGCUUAGUAAACAACAAACAGAAGAAGAUGUUCGUCAGUUAUUUCAGCCUUAUGGAACGAUAGAAGAAUGUACAAUUUUACGUGGACCUGAUGGCCAAAGUAAAGGAUGUGCAUUUGUGAAGUUUGGCUCUCAUGUGGAAGCACAAACUGCCAUCAAUGCUCUUCACGGAAGCCAAACUAUGCCAGGUGCAUCAUCCAGUUUGGUUGUAAAGUUUGCAGAUACAGAAAAAGAAAGACAGUUAAGAAGAAUGCAGCAAAUGGCUGGAAAUAUGGGCUUGCUUAAUCCUUUCGUAUUCAACCACUUUGGUGCUUAUGGUGCUUAUGCCCAGUUCAUGCAGCAGCAAGCAGCAUUGAUGGCUGCUGCAGCUCAGGGUGGGUACCUGAAUCCCAUGGUGACAAUGGCAGCCACACAGCUUCCACAGGUCGGUACUGUCCAUAAUGGCCUUGCCAGUCCCGCCAUCACGCCCACGUCAGGUGAGAUCAGCAUUACCUGCAUGACAAGUAAUGGGACUCAACCAAUAAAUGGUGCUAUCCCUAACAUGCCUUCCCCUACCAUGCCGAAUUUCACCAUUCAUCAAAAUGGCCAACCAGGAGAAGUAUAUGCUAAUGGCAUACCUCAUUGUCCACCCCAAGCGAUACCCAAUGGCGAUGCUCUCCAACCUGCCGCAUAUCCAAGUCUGCAGCCGUAUCCAGGCAUCCCUGCUUACCCAGCAGGAUAUGGCCAGUUUGCACAGGCUCUGACACAGCAACCGACCAUUGUUCAGCAAACACAAAGAGAAGGACCAGAAGGCUGUAAUCUGUUUAUUUACCACUUACCACAAGAAUUUGGUGAUGCUGAGCUUAUCCAGAUGUUCUUGCCAUUUGGUAAUGUGAUCAGUGCCAAGGUGUUCAUUGACCGUGCCACUAAUCAGAGUAAAUGUUUUGGAUUUGUGAGUUUUGACAACCCCACCAGUGCCCAGGCGGCCAUCCAAGCCAUGAAUGGCUUUCAGAUUGGAAUGAAACGUCUUAAGGUCCAGUUGAAGCGACCCAAGGAUGCCAACAGGCCAUAUUAAACCCAGGGCCAACUUUUUAAAUUCAAGUUGCCAUGGGUACCAACAAGCUGCAAAAGCUAUCUCCAGCUAGCGAAUGGUGUAGGCCAGAUACCUUGAAUGCCAAGAUUUUGGAGAAGAGGCAGUUUUUAUGGUGACUGAAGUUUAAGUGAUCUUCAUAUAUUUUUUCUUCACAUUGCUGGUAAAUGGACAAACCCCAUCUUGAGAAUCAGAAGAAUAGACAAAAAAACCUUCCAAGUCUUAGGCCACAGUGCAGGUGGUCCUAUUUAUUCAUAUUUUCCCCAGUGUUUAUGUAGCAAGCAAGUAUCCAACUGUCAGGAUAUAGAACUAGCUGCACUCUCCCUCACCUUUUAUUUAUCUUCGUCAUUUUUAAACAAUAUUCUGUACUUUUACAGUUUUAAAGUUAUUUAUUACUUAUUCAGAAAGGUUAGUAAUGAUCAUAUGAGUUUCAGACAAAAUUAUGUGCUAGAAGAAAAAAAAAAUUAAUCUUGCAAGUUGACUGGUUUUACUUCAUAUCAAAGUGGCAGGUCAAAUCUGCCCAGAACGUCAAAGAACGUCACUCCACGAUGUGUAGAUGCUAGGAUGGUGAAGACCUUCCUGACUUGCAUCAAUACAAUGAAGAGCUAGUGUUUACAUCAGUAGAAGCUAUCAAUAAAGUGGAUAGUUACUGUUUAACAAAUAUGAAUGUACUGUCACCUGGAACCCACCAGGUUAUUUGUUUCUGCUGUUCUGUAACCACAAAUUUGAACAACCAAGGUUACUUUAAUAGCCACUGCUUUCAAGAUAACAGAGGUCAGUGACUGUAUUACUUACUGACUACAAACAAUUGUCAUGAUUUUUUAAAAUGUCAAGUUAUUCUUAGAAUUAUUAUUCAAUCGUAGUAUUAGGAAAUUCACUUUUGAAGUCUACUUAAAAAUUGACACUGUGUACUGAAGAAUUAUAUUUUUCUUGAUCAAAUGCUUAUCAACUAGAUAUUAUAGAACAGUAAUGGUAACCUGAAUUCAUGCUCUUCUUUUUCUUUUUCAAAAGAAUAUUAGAAUAUAUAUAUAUUAAGUUUUCCAUCUAAUCAACAGAGUUUUAUAAACUAGGAGAAAUAUAAUAAUGUAGCAAAUAGUAGUUCUCCUUACUGAGUGUGUUUACAUACGUUAUGGAGAUAAGGUGCAUCUUGACUAAAAGAUUCAGAAGUGUGAGCAGCUGAUUGCUUGUAUUAAUAGCUUUAUUUAUUGAAAGAGUUCUUGUUUUUGUGACUAGUCAAACUUGAGCAAUGCUAGUCAGGUAAGUAAUUUAGUAGGACAUUUAUUUAAUUUUGUCCAUUAUUUCUUACCUAACUCUUUUAUUAAAAAAAGAAAAAGCUUCUGUUAGGAGGUUAUUUUUUUCAUAUUAUCUUGCCAAAUCACCAUUUUCUUUUUAAGUUCUACAUGUAUGUUACAAAAGGCAAGCGUAUGUACAGUCAUGUAAUGAAUGACAUGUCAUGUUGGAGUUAUUUUAUAUCGUAAUUCAGAAUGUCAGUAGGCUCAGGUAACUAGUUGUUAUUAAUAUAAGAACAUGUAUAAAUACUGUUUGAAAGUUAUCCACAACAGACUGUUGGUUAUAGGUGCACAAUUGUCUUUACAGAGAACAGGAAACGAAAUUGAUUAUUGUAAAAGAAGGUUUUAGCUGAGAGAAGUUUAAUCUUUCAUACAAAGUCAAGCUGGUUUUUAUUAUGAUAUCAGUGUCACAGUCAUGCUGACUUAUCUUUUACCUCUUAAUCAUAGUAAAUAGAUUCAGGUAAGGGAAGAAGAAGUGUUUGUUCAAUAAACUCAUUUUAUAAGAAAUGCUGUUUAUUUUUAUUGGCACCUUGGGAGACUUUAACUAUGCUUAAACUUAUUCUUUGGAUAACUAGUUCUGUCUCUUUACAUUCCAGUGUUGAUUACAAGAGAGAGUUACUUUUACUUCAUUCCAGGUCUUUUGAAAUGCUUGAUAGAGUAGGCUUUUUUUAUCGACAAAUUAGCUAACAAAAAUAAAGCUUUCAAUAGUUACUUAACAUUCUGCUUUUGGUUUUCUGGUAUUAUAACAUUGAAAAUCUAAAGUAGCUUAUGUAUCUAUACUGCUAAGUCUGAUAAGAUACUAUAAAGUGGCAUAGUGUGCCACAACUGUUCAUUCAAAACUGGUUAUAUAAAAAAGAACUGAUACUAAAAACUGAAAAUAUGGAAGUAAGUUAUUAAUUUUAUUUUAAGAUAUCUUUAUGAUAGCUAAUGAAAGGUCAGUAGUUAGAGAAGAUGGUGUGUCAUCCAGGGAAAUUAGAGAAAUAUUUAAAACUAUAGAAGAUGGGAUCCCUAAAUGUAUAAUAAGACUUGUAAGAGCAGUAGAAACCUUAUCAUAGUCAUGAGAAACUAUUUUAAAAGUCUGUCAUUAGGUCUCCUUGCCAUAGCUGUUAGAUGCUAAAAUGUUUAUGGAAGGUAGUCUGUCAUGUGUAUCUUUAUUGUGGCUGUGAAACUAAAAAAAAAACUGUGGGAAG